rnacentral:rRNA from 1 species
UACGGAGGGUGCAAACGUUGCUCGGAAUCAUUGGGCGUAAAGCGCACGUAGGCGGACCGGUAAGUCGGAUGUGAAAGCCCUCGGCUUAACCGAGGAAGUGCAUUCGAAACUGACGGUCUUGAGUAUGGAAGAGGGUCGCGGAAUUCCCGGUGUAGAGGUGAAAUUCGUAGAUAUCGGGAGGAACACCAGUGGCGAAGGCGGCGACCUGGGCCAAUACUGACGCUGAGGUGCGAAAGCGUGGGGAGCAAACAGG